rnacentral:lncRNA from 1 species
AUAGUUAUAUGAAUGCAUAUUUUAUCCACAAUAAAAUAAUAUCAACAUUCAAACGAUUUAACUAUUGCACAAGGCACAUCUAUUAUGGUUUGAGCGCUUCAAAUAUAAUAUUAAAAUUCGUAAAUAAAUUUUAGACACAAUAAACCACGGCUCUGAUACCACUGAAGGAUUGCAUAUAUGUGUUCGUAACACGCAGCAGAAGACAAUAACAAUCCUGGGUAGAUUUUUCAUGUUUAAAAUUUAUUUAUGUGUCAAAGAUAGGAUCUAAGACGUACCUGGUGAAGAGAGUUUCUAUUCCGAAAUUUCUUCGAUAGUGCGAAGACUCUAUGCGUAUCCACACCGAGACCGAUCCUUGCCAUCAACUCUUUGAUCAAUGAAACACGCGAACAAAUUGAAUGAAUUAUUGUGCUAAAGUUCUUCUCAAAAACUUUAGCCAACGUGAAAGAUCAAGAAACUAAAUUUUCUUGUCAAGAGUAUUACUUGACCCUUUCGAUAUCUCUGUUGGUUUUCAGCUUCUCCAAGAAGCUGUGUUUUUUUUUCUUUCGUUGUUGUAGCUAUGUAUAUAUAUAUAUAAGCCGCAACUGUUUCCUUAGGUUAAAGAAGAAGAAAAAAACGAGUUCUAAUUGGACUUCAUCUAAAAGUAAACUUAUCAAUCCCAUUCUUAUUGGGAUGAAAUAACUUACGUUGACUUUCAGUCAAUCCAAUUCUUAAUUGGAAUUCAUACUCUUUAUGAAUAUCAUAUUUUAUAUACAUCUCUAAUAUAAAAUAAUAUUAAUUAUAUAUAUCACAUAUAUUUCAACCAAGAGAUAUUAUUUAAUUUCUAUUCCAAAUAGAAAAUUCAAUUUAUUCACAAUAUUAAUUAUAAUCUUUGUGCUAGCAAAAAAUAUAAUAAUAUUUCAUUUGGACUAA